rnacentral:rRNA from 1 species
AUUGAACGCUGGCGGCAGGCCUAACACAUGCAAGUCGAACGAGUGGCGGACGGGUGAGUAAUGUCUGGGAAACUGCCUGAUGGAGGGGGAUAACUACUGGAAACGGUAGCUAAUACCGCAUACCAUCAGAUGUGCCCAGAUGGGAUUCGCUAGUUGGUGGGGUAACGGCUCACCAAGGCGACGAUCCCUAGCUGGCCUGAGAGGAUGACGAGCCACGCUGUAACUGAGCAACGGCCCAGAUCCCUACGGGAGGCGGCAUUGGGGAAUAUUGCACAAGGGGCGCAAGCCUGAUGCAGCCAUGCCGAGUGUAUGAAGAAGGCCUUCGGUUUGAAAAGUACUUUCAGCGGGGAGGCGUUACCCGCAUAAGAAGCACCGGCUAACUCCGUGCCAGAAGCCGCGGUAAUUC